ACGAACGCUGGCGGCGUGCUUAACACAUGCAAGUCGAACGAAGAGCGACGGAAGCUUGCUUCUAUCAAUCUUAGUGGCGAACGGGUGAGUAACGCGUAAUCAACCUGCCCUUCAGAGGGGGACAACAGUUGGAAACGACUGCUAAUACCGCAUACGAUCUAACCUCGGCAUCGAGGAUAGAUGAAAGGUGGCCUCUACAUGUAAGCUAUCACUGAAGGAGGGGAUUGCGUCUGAUUAGCUAGUUGGAGGGGUAACGGCCCACCAAGGCGAUGAUCAGUAGCCGGUCUGAGAGGAUGAACGGCCACAUUGGGACUGAGACACGGCCCAGACUCCUACGGGAGGCAGCAGUGGGGAAUCUUCCGCAAUGGACGAAAGUCUGACGGAGCAACGCCGCGUGAGUGAUGACGGCCUUCGGGUUGUAAAGCUCUGUUAAUCGGGACGAAAGGCCUUCUUGCGAAUAGUGAGAAGGAUUGACGGUACCGGAAGAGAAAGCCACGGCUAACUACGUG
rnacentral:rRNA from 1 species